UCAAGCUACUAAGGGCAUACGGUGGAUGCCUAGGCGCCAGGAGCCGAAGAAGGACGCGGUAAGCUGCGAAAAGCCACGGGGAACUGCAAGCGAGUAUUGAUCCGUGGAUAUCCGAAUGGGGAAACCCGGCCAUCGUAAUGGAUGGUCAUCCGCAAGGAAGGGAACCCGGGGAACUGAAACAUCUAAGUACCCGGAGGAAAAGAAAUCAAACGAGAUGCCCACAGUAGCGGCGAGCGAAGAGGGCAGAGCCCAAACCUGUAAGCUACGGCUUAUGGGGGUUGAGGACUGACGUAAUUAAGGCCAGGCUUAGCUGAACUACCUGGGAAGGUAGGCGAUAGAAGGUAAGAGCCCUGUAAGCGAAAGGCAGAGCCUUAAGGUCAGUAUCCAGAGUACCACGGAGCACGAGGAAUUCUGUGGGAAGCAGGGGGGACCACCCUCCAAGGCUAAAGACUAACUGGCGACCGAUAGCGCAUAGUACCGUGAGGGAAAGGUGAAAAGAACCCCGGGAGGGGAGUGAAAUAGUACCUGAAACCGUAUGUCUACAAGCAGUCGGAGCGAAAGCGACGGCGUGCCUAUUGAAGAAUGAACCAACGAGUUAUCUGCACUAGCGAGGUUAAGUGGAAGACACGGAGCCGUAGCGAAAGCGAGUCUGAAAAGGGCGACGAGUUAGUGUAGGUAGACCCGAAACCGCAGUGAUCUACCCAUGUCCAGGUUGAAGCGCAGGUAAAAAUGCGUGGAGGACCGAACCGGUGAGCGUUGAAAAGCUUUCGGAUGAGAUGUGGGUAGGGGUGAAAUUCCAAUCGAACGCGGAGAUAGCUGGUUCUCCCCGAAAUAGCUUUAGGGCUAGCCUCAGGUAGUAAGUAUAGGCGGUAGAGCACUGAUCGGGCUAGGGGCCAUAAAGGUUACCGAACCCUGUCAAACUCCGAAUGGAUAUACUGCAGAGCCUGGGAGUCAGACUACGAGUGAUAAGAUCCGUGGUCAAAAGGGAAACAGCCCAGACCACCGGCUAAGGUCCCAAAUGCCGUACUAAGUGGAAAAGGAUGUGGGGAUUCAUAAACAACCAGGAUGUUGGCUCAGAAGCAGCCACCAUUUAAAGAGUGCGUAAUAGCUCACUGGUCGAGAGUCCCUGCGCCGAAAAUUUCCGGGGCUAAAGUACGGAACCGAAGCCGUGGCUGUGUACUUAGGUGCACGGGGUAGGGGAGCGUUGCCACAGGGGUGAAGCUGGUCUGGAAGGACUGGUGGACUUGUGGGAAGUGAGAAUGUUGGUAUGAGUAGCGAAAAGAAAGGUGAGAAUCCUUUCCACCGAAAGCAUAAGGAUUCCUGAGCAACGAUCGUCGUCUCAGGGUAAGUCGGGACCUAAUCCGAGGCAAAGAGCGUAGGAGAUGGACAACAGGUUGAUAUUCCUGUACCGGCAGUAAUUGUUUGAGCGAAGGAGUGACACAGAAGGGCAGGCAGGCGCGAGACUGGAUUGUCGCGUGCAAGCGUGUAGGGUAGUGUACAGGCAAAUCCGUACACUGAGAGCCUGAGGCGUUACGCGGAGCGAGCAGAGAUGCGAGCGAAGCUGCUGAUCCCACACUGUCGAGAAAAGCUUCUAGUGAGAGAGCUGCCGCCCGUACCGUAAACCGACACAGGUAUGCGGGGAGAGAAUCCUAAGGUGCGCGGGAGAACCCUCGUUAAGGAACUCGGCAAAAUGUACCCGUAACUUCGGGAUAAGGGUAGCCGUCUUGGUGAAGGAGCUUGCCUCUGGAGCUGAAGGCGGUCGCAGAGAAGAGGCCCAAGCGACUGUUUACCACAAACACAGGUGCCUGCUAAAGCGAAAGCUGACGUAUAGGUGCUGACACCUGCCCAGUGCUGGAAGGUUAAGGAAGGAUGUCCGGGCAACCAAAGCAUUCGACCGAAGCCCCAGUGAACGGCGGCCGUAACUAUAACGGUCCUAAGGUAGCGAAAUUCCUUGUCGGGUAAGUUCCGACCCGCACGAAAGGCGUAACGAUUUGGGCACUGUCUCAACGAGGGACCCGGUGAAAUUGAAAUACCUGUGAAGAUGCAGGUUACCCGCGACUGGACAGAAAGACCCCAUGGAGCUUUACUGUAACCUGACAUUGGGUUUUGUUGUAUUACGUACAGGAUAGGUGGGAGGCUUGGAAGGCUGGACGCUAGUCUGGCUGGAGCCGGCGUUGGGAUACCACCCUUGAUACAACGGAAUUCUAACCGAGAGAGUAACGAAAUCCGGGACAGUGUCAGGCGGGCAGUUUGACUGGGGCGGUCGCCUCCGAAAGAGUAAC
rnacentral:rRNA from 1 species